rnacentral:rRNA from 1 species
UACAGAGGGUGCGAGCGUUGUCCGGAAUCACUGGGCGUAAAGGGCGCGUAGGUGGCGCGACAAGUCAGUGGUGAAAGCUCGACGCUCAACGUCGAGUCGGCCACUGAUACUGUUGGGCUUGAGCACUGUAGAGGCUAAUGGAAUUCCGGGUGUAGCGGUGGAAUGCGUAGAGAUCCGGAAGAACACCGGUGGCGAAGGCGGCCUGCUGGGCAGUGGCUGACGCUGAUGCGCGACAGCGUGGGGAGCAAACAGG